rnacentral:misc_RNA from 1 species
UUCAUAUAUACUACAGUAUAGCUUGUAAAAUACUUUUGGUCAAACGAUGCUUGCCUCUAUAUGUAUGUAUAUGUGUGCAAUCCUCGUUUCAGAUAAGAAUGAAUAUUGCAACAUGUGCUUUGGGGGAUUGCUUGCGCGUAUAAUCCCACAUUGUACACGAAUGUCAUGACACACAUACACACGUAUACACAUCGUCGUUGUCACUGUGAAUGCAUUUAGCGAGAAUUUAAAUGCAUAUUUUUCACAGGGCUAGUCUGAUAACAUGCACAUAUGUCUAUGUCAUUUGUAA